AGUGGGGAAUAUUGGACAAUGGGCGCAAGCCUGAUCCAGCCAUGCCGCGUGGAUGAUGAAGGCCUUAGGGUUGUAAAGUCCUUUUAACGGGGAAGAUAAUGACGGUACCCGUAGAAUAAGCCCCGGCUAACUUCGUGCCAGCAGCCGCGGUAAUACGAAGGGGGCUAGCGUUGCUCGGAAUCACUGGGCGUAAAGCGCACGUAGGCGGCUUUCUAAGUCAGGGGUGAAAUCCUGGAGCUCAACUCCAGAACUGCCUUUGAUACUGGAGAGCUUGAGUUCGGGAGAGGUGAGUGGAACUGCGAGUGUAGAGGUGAAAUUCGUAGAUAUUCGCAAGAACACCAGUGGCGAAGGCGGCUCACUGGCCCGAUACUGACGCUGAGGUGCGAAAGCGUGGGGAGCAAA
rnacentral:rRNA from 1 species